GGGUCGGUAGCUCAGUCGGUAGAGCAGCGGACUUUUAAUCCGUUGGUCGAGGGUUCGAAUCCCUCCCGACCCA
rnacentral:tRNA from 2 species